GCAACUUAGUAACUAAGUUACUAAUUUAAAGUAACUUACCCAACACUGCUUAAUACUGAACUAAGAUACUUUCAGUGUGAAUCAUUUGCAGGAACACAGGCAGGAUUUAAAGUGCAGAACUUUACAGUCUCUGUCUCAAAGUUGGUCUAAACAUGCUAACAGCUCUUUGUUUUUUUCAGUUUUCACUGGUUUGAUGUAAUAAAAGAAAUUUUAAAGAAGCAGACAAGUUUUGCUAUUUUAGUUCUAUAAUUUCAUAAAUCGUGGUGUGGAUAUAAGUCAACAUUCAAAAUAAAUAAGAUAAUACAGCACUUUCUAUGUUUGCCUUUUUAUUUUCCCAGCAGUACUCAGGUUGGUUCUCGGCUACAUUUACAUAACAGAUGUCAAUGUCUUCAGCAGCUGGACACUCAUCUGAGGAAGGAACAUUGGAAAGGUGCUCAGUGCACAACUGCAUCACUAAUUUUAUAAUCAUCAGCUGUUUUAUGAACCUUCUCUGUAUGUUUGACUCAUCAACACCUGUGAGCUGUGAUGGAGUCAGAGGAGCUUCAUCACUGAUGUUCAGAGGGGAGCUGAUUCUAGCUGCAGCUGGACUCUGUCAUCUAACUGAAUGUGUUGGUGCUGAUCACGGGGCUCUGAGGGGGGAGCAGCAGGAGGACUCUGGAUACUGACUGAACGGAGGACGUGCCAGUGGCCCUGGGACCUCAGGUGGUGGGUCUGCUGUGGAGCUCUGGAUGGGAAGCACGUCCAGACAAAGGCACCCCAUAUAUCAUAUAGGAGACACACACAUUGAUAUAUACUAAAUAUUUAUUUCAUUUCUUUUUUUGUGGUA